rnacentral:lncRNA from 1 species
CUCCGCUGUAACAUACAACCUGGGAAUUAAUCUUGCAUUGGAACGCACCUUCGUAGAAGAUGGAGGCUGUUGGCUGUGAUUCCAGAACUUGGUCCUCUCAUGAUGUCAUCCCCACCGAUGCUGUGCACUGACGGGAGUCUCCAGCACAAUCCAACGCAGCAGAGAGCACAAGAUUUGGAGACGCCGAGUAGUGCUAUCCACGCAUACGCAUAAAGCAUGCACUGCGACGCUUGGGUAUGUGGAAGUGACAAUCCCCAGCUUUUAGCCUGCAGACUAAUGAAUGAGUACGAAGCAAUCGACAG